CCGUUCAAUACUGCGGAGCUCGAGGGCAGAAGAGGGGGGUGGAAUUGCUGGUGUAGUGGUGAAAUGCGUAGAUAUCAGCAGGAACACCUGUGGCGAAAGCGGCCCCCUGGUCCGCUCCUGACACUCAGACGCGAAAGCUAGGGGAGUGAACGGGAUUAGAAACCCCGGUAAUCCUAGCCGUAAACGAUGGAUGCUAGGUGUGGGUGGUAUUGACCCCAUCCGUGCCGAAGCCAACGCGUUAAGCAUCCCGCCUGGGGACUACGGCCGCAAGGUUAAAACUCAAAGGAAUUGACGGGGACCCGUACAAGCAGCGGAGCGUGUGGUUUAAUUCGAAGCUACACGAAGAACCUUACCCAGGUUUGACAUGCAGGUAGUAGUGAAGCGAAAGCGGAACGAUCCUUCGGGAAGCCUGCACAGGUGCUGCAUGGCUGUCGUCAGCUCGUGCCGUGAGGUGUUUGGUUAAGUCCACUAACGAGCGCAACCCCUGUCGUCAGUUACAUGUGUCUGGCGAGACUGCCGGUCUUAAACCGGAGGAAGGUGGGGAUGACGUCAAGUCAGCAUGGCCUUUAUAUCUGGG
rnacentral:rRNA from 1 species